UUUAAUAAACUAUUUUUGAGUUGAGUUGAGUUCUCGUCCGAUCACUGAAGUUAAGCAACAUCGGGCGCGGUUAGUACUUGGAUGGAUGACCGCUUGGGAACACCGCGUGCUGUUGUCA
rnacentral:rRNA from 1 species